rnacentral:rRNA from 1 species
CUUGCUUCUCUUGAGAGCGGCGGACGGGUGAGUAAUGCCUAGGAAUCUGCCUGGUAGUGGGGGAUAACGUUCGGAAACGGACGCUAAUACCGCAUACGUCCUACGGGAGAAAGCAGGGGACCUUCGGGCCUUGCGCUAUCAGAUGAGCCUAGGUCGGAUUAGCUAGUUGGUGGGGUAAUGGCUCACCAAGGCUACGAUCCGUAACUGGUCUGAGAGGAUGAUCAGUCACACUGGAACUGAGACACGGUCCAGACUCCUACGGGAGGCAGCAGUGGGGAAUAUUGGACAAUGGGCGAAAGCCUGAUCCAGCCAUGCCGCGUGUGUGAAGAAGGUCUUCGGAUUGUAAAGCACUUUAAGUUGGGAGGAAGGGUUGUAGAUUAAUACUCUGCAAUUUUGACGUUACCGACAGAAUAAGCACCGGCUAACUCUGUGCCAGCAGCCGCGGUAAUACAGAGGGUGCAAGCGUUAAUCGGAAUUACUGGGCGUAAAGCGCGCGUAGGUGGUUUGUUAAGUUGGAUGUGAAAUCCCCGGGCUCAACCUGGGAACUGCAUUCAAAACUGACUGACUAGAGUAUGGUAGAGGGUGGUGGAAUUUCCUGUGUAGCGGUGAAAUGCGUAGAUAUAGGAAGGAACACCAGUGGCGAAGGCGACCACCUGGACUAAUACUGACACUGA